GAUGAACGCUAGCGGCAGGCCUAAUGCAUGCAAGUCGAACGGUGUCUUCGGACAUAGUGGCGCACGGGUGCGUAACACGUACGCAACCUACCUUACAUUGGGGGAUAGCCUUUCGAAAGGGAGAUUAAUACCGCAUAAGACAGUAGCUGGGCAUCCAGCAGCUGUUAAAGAUUUAUCGAUGUAAGCUGGGCAUGCGUCCAAUUAGCUAGUUGGUGAGGUAACGGCUCACCAAGGCAAUGAUUGGUAGGGGAACUGAGAGGUCAAUCCCCCACACUGGCACUGAGAUACGGGCCAGACUCCUACGGGAGGCAGCAGUAGGGAAUAUUGGGCAAUGGACGCAAGUCUGACCCAGCCAUGCCGCGUGCAGGAUGAAGGCGUUAUGCGUUGUAAACUGCUUUUAUACAGGAAGAAACGACUCUUGCGAGAGGCAUUGACGGUACUGUAUGAAUAAGCACCGGCUAACUCCGUGCCAGCCGCCGCAGUAA
rnacentral:rRNA from 1 species